UGCCCCAGUUGUCGCCAGUGUCACCCACCCAUGAUGUUCCACUGGUGCCAGCCCACAGCUCCACCCACGAGCAAGACCAGGAAGGGGUGCCAGCCCACAGCUCCACCCACGAGCAGGACCAGGAAGGGGAGGGCCCCGCCAAGGCCUGCGGCCACUGCUGGGGACAGAAGGGACACAUCAGGGUCACCUGUCAGUGCAGGGGUCCUGCAAUCCCUAUGAUCCCAUGUGACCCCACCUGUCUUCCAAUGGUGUCCUGUGGUUCCCUGUGGUGUCACCUCCAGGGCCAGCUCUGGGCUGAGUGCCCGGAACACACGGUGCCCGUCCUGUCCCAGCUGGUUGGUGGCCACGCACUGGUAGGUGCCCGAAUGUCCCACAUCGACGGCCCCAAGCUCCAGGUGUGCCCAGGUGACCCCGUGACCCUGCGCUGCUCAGUGCAGGUGGGCUCAGCCCCUGUCACCUUCACCUGGCUGCACGAAGCAACAUGGGUGGGUGACAGUGGGGACAAUUGGGGCCCUGGUGAGCUUUGGGGCCACUUAAAUGUGGGGCUGAUGGGGUGGCACCCACAGCCCCUGACUUCAGCAGUGUUGAGUGCUCAAGACAUUUGCUCUAGGUCCUGAACAAUUUAGGGUUGGUGUUGGAGGUCUUCC
rnacentral:lncRNA from 12 species